rnacentral:rRNA from 1 species
UACGUAGGGUGCGAGCGUUUGUCCGGAAUUACUGGGCGUAAAGAGCUCGUAGGUGGUUUGUCGCGUUGUUCGUGAAAACUCACAGCUUAACUGUGGGCGUGCGGGCGAUACGGGGCAGACUGGAGUACUGCAGGGGAGACUGGAAUUCCUGGUGUAGCGGUGGAAUGCGCAGAUAUCAGGAGGAACACCGGUGGCGAAGGCGGGUCUCUGGGCAGUAACUGACGCUGAGGAGCGAAAGCGUGGGGAGCGAACAGG